rnacentral:lncRNA from 1 species
CCCUCCCCCUCCUCAUCCUUUGCAUUUGUAAUUUGUCAGAGAAAGAGAGAGAGAGAGAGAGAGAGAGAGAGAGAGAGAGCAUAUUCCUGUGAUGGACUUGUGGAACAGGAAAAGGUGCUAGACCCAGGAGGGACCAGGACAGGCAAAGAUAUAAGCUUCGCCUGGGGCAAGGGAGUGGACGUGCGCGUGACAAACCGCCUGCGGGUCCCGCUGACACCGGACAACUUGCAGUCGCUUUCCUUCAGCAUUCCGGGCCUUCACACGCGACUCAACACACCACUGGAACAUGUAGGCCUGUUUCACUAUGGCCAUUUACUGGUGUACAACCUGCCAUCGGUGCCUGCCGACAAACCAGACGAAGACAGUGGGGUUUCCCUCGCUCCUCCAUUGAGCUGCUUUUAUUUGGGAGAGGACGGUGGAGAGGUACAGGGCUCAGCACGAGAUGAUGCGCCCGCGGGGAUUGUCUCAAACUCUGUCUCGCCGGAGGGUAACUGCUUGUAUUCAGCAGGACAACCUGAAGAUUCUCCAGUAAUAGACUCUCCAGAUUUGAGAGGCAGUGACGAGCAGUCUCUGUGCAGCGGUUCAGAGAACUUCUACACAUGUCCAUCUGCAGCCUCUCAGGACUCCGUUCCGUCCCCUUGGAGUGCUCAUUGGGCGUCAGCCGCCAUGUCCCCGCAUUAUGGGUCAGGGUCAUCACCAAACCUGCCUAGCUCCACACCGACCAGCGAAGAUCAUAGUGACAGUAAUGAGCUGUUGUCGGUGGAGUUCAAAGGGCGACGCUACGUGCGUGUCCUGUCCCGGGUCAAGCCUAGGACAGAUGAAGACGUGGAGGCCAGUUGGACGGUGACAGACUUCACGAAGCGCGGGGAGCCCGUGUUCUCUCUGCGGCUUGACUUCAUGCGGCCCCGACCACCCUUACCCCGGUGGAUGGAGGGCAUAGCAGAGAGGUACUGGUGAUGAUGAUGGGCUUGACAAGAGCUGGACAGUACAUGCCAAUUUUUACUGAUCUGCCUCCAAUGUUGAGAAACAUCUGACCAAUUCCCACUGUCAAAUAAACAAACUCCA